GGAUGUGGCUUAGUGGUAGAGCACUUGCCUAGCAAGUGUGAGGCCCUGGGUUCAAUCCCCAGCACCA
rnacentral:tRNA from 1 species